AGAAGUUUCUGGUGAUAAAAUCUGAGGCCUUGUGACUGCUAGGCAAGUCCUCUAUCCCUAAGCUACAUUUUCAUCCUUAAUUUCCUUUUGUUAAAAAGGCUAAUUGAUAUUCUUUUGUGUGUAUAUCCCAUAAUGAUUUGGUUUGGUUUGGUUUGGUUUUUGGCGAGGGGGUUCUUUUUGAGGGUGGGCUGCUGUUUUUCCCAGGGUGGCCUCCAACUCCAGGCUCAAGCAAUCCUCUUGUGUCAGCUUUCUGAGUAGCUGGGAUUUUAGGUGUGCACCAGGUGGCUUAAGACAGUUUUUAAAUCCACUCAUCUAUUUGUGGACACUUAGGUUGCUGCUAUAUCUUGACUGUUGUGACUGAUGCUGCAGUGGACACACAGUGCAGGGAAUCCAGGGAAUCUGGAUUCCCAUUCCUUUGGUGUGAAUGAGGUAGUGGGAUUGCUGGAUAAAGCAAAAAUUUUAGUUUUGGGAGGAACCUCCAUGCUAUUCUCCAAAAUAACUCUACUAAAUUGCAACACCAGUGGUGCACACCCCUUUUUCUACCUCCUUCCCAACACUCUUUGUGUCUUCACAAUGACCAAUCUAAUAAGUGUGAAAAAAUAGUUCCUUUUGGUUUUAAUUGGCAUUUGCAUUCAUUCACAUAUCUGUUGGCCAAUUAUGUAUCAUAUUUUGACAGAUGUCUCUUCAACGUCUUUACCCAUGUUAAAUAUAAGGUUAUUUGUAUAUUUUGUGUAUUAAACCAUUAUCUGACCUAUGAUUGUUUUCUUCCAGUCCAGGGGUUGUCUCUUCACUCUAUAAAUUGUCUUCUCUGCUAGGCAGGAAUAUUUUAGGUUGAUGUUAUUCCAAUGGUCUAUUUUUGCUUUUAGUUAUGUCACCAGGAGGCCAAAACUAUGUUUUGCAUGUUCUUGAGCUCUUGAUUCCAGGAAGAAAAAAAUCAUCCCUGGUAUCUUCUUCCUCAGGGUCCCACAGUUUUCGUUAUAACCUAAAAAUGAGAUCCCAGAACCAUUUAGUGCACGACAGUUCUUUUCUGAGGGUCUUUUGGAUGAUAAGCCCUUCCUGCACUAUGACAGUGGACACACAGUGCAGGGAAUCCAGGGAAUUUGGAUUCCCAUUCCUUUGGUGUGAAUGAGGUAGUGGGAUUGUGAAUGAGGCACUGUGGGCAAAGACAAUCCUGAGAGCCGAGACCUGGAACACAGAGACCCAAGACUUGGCAGGGAGUGGGAAAAACCUCAGAAUGACUCUGGCAGAUAUUAUCAGUCUGCAGAGGCAGAAAGAAGGGUCUCAUUCCCUCCAGGAGUCUUGGGGCUGUGAGAUGCAAAAGAACAACCGCACCAGGGGCUUCUGGGAUUUCUACUAUGAUUAGGAGCCCUUCCUCUCCUUUCACCCUGUGACUCACAGCUGGACAGUGCACCCUUCCUCGGCUCAGACUUUGGCUAUGGAAGUCAAGAAGCACUGGAAAUCAGAUGAUAGUCCAAGCAAGGCUCAAUGGGCCCAUGUGCAAGGAACAAUUGGUGGAAGACUCCAGAGAUAUCUGAACUCCUGGAUAGCCUUCAAUAAGACAAUAGUGUCCCCAGUAGUGACUGUUAUCUGCGGUGAGGCCUUGGAGGACACCAUCAACGCCACAUGUUGGGCUUUUGGGUUCUAUCCCUGGAUUAUCUCUCUGACUUGGCUUCAGGAUGGGGAACCCCUGAACCAGGACACACAGCAAUCUGGGAGUCUUUUACCAUAUGGGAAUGGGACCUACCAGACCUGCGUGUCCACCAGGAUUCCUCAAGGACAGGAGCAGAGAUUUACCUGCCAUGUGCGACAUAGUGGGAAAGAGAGCACUGGCACUGUGCCCUGUGGGGCCGACCCUGCUGCUUCAAAGCCGAUGGCGAGCCUCUCUAGGUGUGGUUGCUGCUGUUGAUGCUGUUCUUCUUCUUCUUCUCCUUUAUGUGCUUUGGAGCAACAGGAGGGAGACAAUUUCAGCCGCAGAGGGUUCAGCUCAGGAGCUCACAAGUCCUGAAUCAUCAGCAGAUGGUGAAGAGGAACCAUAACAGCACCUUGCAGCUUGUGUCAAGCUUCCAGGAUGAUGCUGUGGAGCACAUCUGCCCUGAAGAGUUGGAGCCCUAGUGUGAUGAACUGGAGGAUCACAUUGAUGGACAGGACAGGGUUGGAACUUUGAGGUGUCCUUAUGCUGAGCAAUAGGGGUCAGUUGGCCUGGGGGAAAAAAAAUGACUGGCAGGUGCUUAUGGACUAAGAUGUUGAGAGUAAGCGACCCAGAAUGUGUGUGAAUCAGACACCAGCAUUGGCCACCUUUGGUCCAGCUGAAGCAUGCAGAGUGGUGGGGAAGAAGACACUCCAUUUUGAAGAAUAUGACUUUUUAUCCCUAGGGACAUUUCUCUUCUCAGAGUCUCCAAAAUCAGAUUCAGAGUCUCUGUGAG